CAAUAGCGUAUAUUAAAGUUGUUGCGGUUAAAAAGCUCGUAGUUGGAUUUCUGCCGAGGACGACCGGUCCGCCCUCUGGGUGAGUAUCUGGCUCGGCCUGGGCACCUUCUUGGAGAACGUAGCUGCACUUGACUGUGUGGUGCGGUAUCCAGGACUUUUACUUUGAGGAAAUUAGAGUGUUUCAAGCAGGCUUACGCCUUGAAUACAUUAGCAUGGAAUAAUAAGAUAGGACCUCGGUUCUAUUUUGUUGGUUUCUAGAGCUGAGGUAAUGAUUAAUAGGGAUAGUUGGGGGCAUUCGUAUUUAACUGUCAGAGGUGAAAUUCUUGGAUUUGUUAAAGACGAACUACUGCGAAAGCAUUUGCCAAGGAUGUUUNCAUUG
rnacentral:rRNA from 1 species